rnacentral:rRNA from 1 species
CCUACGGGUGGCAGCAGUGAGGCAUAUUGGUCAAUGGUCGGGAGACUGAACCAGCCAAGCCGCGUGAGGGAUGAAGGUACAGAGUAUCGUAAACCUCUUUUGUCAGGGAACAAAGGCGGGGACGCGUCCCCGGAUGAGUGUACCUGAAGAAAAAGCAUCGGCUAACUCCGUGCCAGCAGCCGAGGUAAUACGGAGGAUGAGAGCGUUAUCCGGUUUUAUGGGGUUUAAAGGGUGCGCAGGCGGUUGGUUAAGCCAGCGGUCUAACCCCGGGGCUCAACCCCGGCCCGCCGUUGAGACUGGCAGUCUCGAGUUGGAGAGAAGUAUGCGGAAUGCGCGGUGUAGCGGUGAAAUGCAUAGAUAUCGCGCAGAACUCCGAUUGCGAAGGCAGCAUGCCGGCUCCACACUGACGCUGAGGCACGAAAGCGUGGGUAUCGAACAGGAUAGAUACCCGAGUAGUC